rnacentral:rRNA from 1 species
UACGUAGGGGGCAAGCGUUGUCCGGAUUUAUUGGGCGUAAAGAGCGUGUAGGCGGCCGUACAGGUCAGCUGUGAAAACUCGAGGCUCAACCUCGAGAUGUCGGCGGAAACCAUCUGGCUAGAGUCCGGAAGAGGAGAGUGGAAUUCCUGGUGUAGCGGUGAAAUGCGCAGAUAUCAGGAAGAACACCCGUGGCGAAGGCGGCUCUCUGGGACGGUACUGACGCUGAGACGCGAAAGCGUGGGGAGCGAACAGG